rnacentral:rRNA from 1 species
GACGAACGCUGGCGGCGUGCUUAACACAUGCAAGUCGAGCGGUAAGGCCCCUUCGGGGGUACACGAGCGGCGGACGGGUGAGUAACACGUGAGCAAUCUGCCCUUCACACGGGGAUAACUCCGGGAAACCGAAGCUAAUACCCGAUACGACCACUGGCCGCAUGGCUUGGUGGUGGAAAGUUCCGGCGGUGAAGGAUGAGCUCGCGGCCUAUCAUCUUGUUGGUGGGGUAGUAGCCUACCAAGGCAACGACGGGUAGCCGGCCUGAGAGGGUGACCGUCCACACUUGGACUGGGACACGGCCCAGACUCCUACGGGAGGCAGCAGUGGUGAAUAUUGGACAAUGAGCGAAAGCCUGACCCAGCAACGCCGCGUGAAGGAAGAAGGCCUUCGGGUUGUAAACUUCUUUUACCAGGGACGAACACAAUGACGGUACCUGGAGAAAAAGCAACGGCUAACUACGUGCCAGCAGCCGCCGUAAAAC